rnacentral:misc_RNA from 1 species
GUGUAACAAUCGGCCUAGAGCCGGUCUGUACAUGUGUGCAUUGAUGAACGUCUUCCUGGAAGGGCUGUCCUUUGUGGGGUGAGUCUACUAAAGUGUAUGCUUUUGUAGUCUUGCCAUCUUUAAGGAGGCGCGCCGGGAUAUGAUACGAAUACAGCAAGGACAAUUUUUAUUCAAUA